AUAUAAAUAUAAUGUGUGUAUAGUUAAGUAAAUAUUUAUAUGGUUACAAGUGGCUGAAUAGAAAGCUGUACAAAGGAAGGUGCAACUAUAUAGAUAUAAUAAUACUCAGCCAAACCAAUGAGGAAGUCUAAAAGUAGUAAAGAUAAGAAACAAACCAAACUACUUGUUUAUCAGAAUAAAGGACAGCAAUGAAGAAAAUGAUUUGGUAAAAGGGUUGGACUAGACCUUUUUUUGUUAGCUGUAAUAGAGAAAUAAUGUAUGAAUAACUGUAUGUAUAUUUUUAAACAAUAAAAAUUAUUGAAUGA